rnacentral:tRNA from 1 species
UAGUUGGUAGUUUAGAUUAAAAACGUGUACCUUCUAAGUAUGAGAGGAGAUAAUUCCCAGCUUA